rnacentral:rRNA from 1 species
AUGAACGCUGGCGGCGUGCCUCAUACAUGCAAGUCGCGCGAACGGACGAGAAGCUUGCUUCUCUGAUGUUAGCGGCGGACGGGUGAGUAACACGUGGAUAACCUACCUAUAAGACUGGGAUAACUUCGGGAAACCGGAGCUAAUACCGGAUAAUAUUUUGAACCGCCUGGUUCAAAAGUGAAGGAAGGUCUUGCUGUCACUUAUAGAUGGAUCCGCGCUGCAUUAGCUAGUUGGUAAGGUAACGGCUUACCAAGGCAACGAUGCAUAGCCGACCUGAGAGGGUGAUCGGCCACACUGGAACUGAGACACGGUCCAGACUCCUACGGGAGGCAGCAGUAGGGAAUCUUCCGCAAUGGGCGAAAGCCUGACGGAGCAACGCCGCGUGAGUGAUGAAGGUCUUCGGAUCGUAAAACUCUGUUAUUAGGGAAGAACAUAUGUGUAAGUAACUGUGCACAUCUUGACGGUACCUAAUCAGAAAGCCACGGCUAACUACGUG